rnacentral:lncRNA from 1 species
GGCUUAAGGGUGUAACCUCAGAAUGGGGCCCUGAAUCAGCUGUGGGCGAGCUCCUAGAGUAUCUUAAUUCCUGCUUCAUCUCUUUCCAUUUUGCAGUUGGGCAAACUGCGGCUCAGAAAGAUAAAGAACUUCUCCGGAGCGAAAAAGCUGCUAAGAAUGUAUCCAAAACUCCGCACGGUAAGGACUGAGGACGGUCAAAAGACCACCAAGAGUUAAAACCAUGAAGCUGCGUAGUACCGCGGAGGCUAGAGAGACCCGGCCCACCCCUUCCAACCUAUGCCCCUCCUCUUAACUUCCGGGCGGGGCAUGACUUCCGGUUCCCGCGCGGCGCUCCAAAGCUCGGGGAGUGGUGGUCUCCCUUUCCUGGAGUCAUUUGUGGGAGUUAGGGUCUUAUCCUGAUCUUUCCUCGUCCCCCGCUCCCCCGUCCUCCGAGGUGGCAGCUGCGUAGGUGAACGUUCCCCCUGUCCCCUUCCUUCUCCUUCCUAACCCGAGUACGCUUGCUCGCGGCCACAGUGGCUGCCUGCCCCAGGAGCGGGGAGUCCCUGCCUUUGGGGUAGGGAAAUGACUGAAAUGUGGGACCUGCGGGCUCCUCGGGCUGACUUGGACCUCACUGCAGCUCUGGAGGUGGACCUCGUCCUGGGACCCUAGAAGCCCAUUUCCGCACUCGGGCUAGGCCUUCGGAGCCGCGGCAGCAUAGUGGGAGGAGUCGGGCUCAGCUCCCCCCCACCACAACCGGGAUUAUUUUUAUCGGUUGAGUCAUCGCACUACCUUUCAUCCUUGUGGCUUUGGGCAAGUCCCCGCCCUCCGAGCCUCACUUUGCUUAUCUGUGAAUGGAAAUAACAGUGCCUACCCCAUGGGCUAUCGGGAGGAUCAGUUGUGAGGGAAUGCAGUGUGGGGUGUCUGGCCGGCAGAAUUCCACAAAUGGUAGCAGCGGUUGAUGUCACUGGAGGUUCCUGGGGCAGUAAUUUAUCAAGAGUUUAUGAUCCUGAACUAAGGAUCAUACGGAGGAGGAUCUGUGUAUAACGUUCGGCACAAUGUUAGAUAGGAAGUAAGGGCGCAGUGCACUGGAGUUAUUUUUUCUUUUUUUUUUUUUUGAGACGGAGUCUCGCUCUGUCGCCCAGGCCGGAGUUGCAGUGCCGCGUUGUCGCCUCACUGCAACCUUCUCUGCCACAUGGGUUCAAGCGAUUCUCCUGCCUCAGCCACUCGAGUAACUGGGAUUACAGUCGCACAUCACCACGCCUGGCUAAUGUUUUGCAUUUUUAAUAGAGACGGUUUCACCAUGUUGGCCAGCCUGGUCUUGAACUCCUGAUCUCAGGUGAUCCACCCGCCUCGGCCUUCCAAAGUGCUAGAAGUAUAGGCAUGAGCCACUGUGCCUGGCCUGGAGUUAUUUUUUCUCACUGGGUUUUUGAGCAAAGAAAAGGAGUUAUUAACUGGUGAGGAUAAAUUUGUGUUUGGUAAGUCGUCUUCUGAAGCUGACAGGAUUUAUAAGCCGGGUAAAUUGUGGUGCUGGUUCAUCUUUGAGAGCCAGCCUUAAGAAUUGGCCCACUGACUGCUGGGCGUGGUGGCUCACAUCUGUAAUCCCAGCACUUUGGGAGGCCGAAGCGGGUGGAUCACCCGAAGUCAGGAGUUCGAGACCAGCCUGGUCAACAUGGUGAAACCCCAUCUCUACUAAAAACAUAAAAAUUAGCCAGGUAUGGUGGUGGGCACCUGUAAUCCCAGUUACUCGGGAGGCUGAGGCAGAGAAUUGCUUGAACCCAGAAGGAGGAAAGGUUGCAGUGAACCGAGAUCACACUACUGCACUCCAGCCUGAGCGACAGAGUGAGACUUGUCUCAAAAAAAAAAAAAAGGAAAGAAAAAGGCCCACUGACAGUCUGUUCCUAGAAACCUGGGUUGUAAAGACGUUGGGUGCUGGGAGCUAGAAGAAGUAAUAAAAGGGUGUUUUCCUAAGUGGGUUAGGGGUUUUCACUCAGAAAGGUUUUUGGGCAGGAGGGGAAAGCCUGAGAAGUUUUCUUCCUCUUGAGUUGUUAUAAAAGUAAUACAUGUGUGUAGUUAGAAAACAAUGCAGAAAGAUGUAAAAUGAAAAGUGUUUCCCCCUUCUACUGUUUCUGCCCUUCAGAAGUAAAUACAAUUAAUUUCUUUGAUAACUUUCUAUCUAUUAUUUGGAUAUAUCAGGUUUUAUUUAUUUGUAUCUGUAUUUAUGUAUUUUUAAUUUCCUCAGAUCGGGGGUCAUACUACACAUCGAUCGGGACCUUAGUCAUGUUGUGAUAUGGACAGCUUUCUUACCAGUACUCAUAAGCCUGCUUCAUUUUUUACGUGGCGGCACCACUGAGUGGUUGACGGUACUUCAGUCAUUUCCCUGUUGAUGGUCACUUAGGUUGUUCCCAAGAUUUUGCUUUCCCACAGUGUUUCACCCAACCUUUCUUGGACGAAAUAUUUUAGUCCAACUCACCCUAAGUGAUUCUGCUUUUCCCUAUUCACCACCCUAGGUUAGUAACAGCUUACUUUGGGGGAUGAGCACACCUUAUUAACUGAGCAAAAACCAAGAUAAUGUGAGAAGAAUUGGUGUACUCCCAAGAAUAUCCAAGGUGCUGGGUCUAGAAUCAAUUAAAGUCUCCUAAGAAAUGGGUCAGGGAACCUUUAGAGAAGGGAUGACUAGGUGCUGGGUGCACGGCAGCUAGUCAGCGUUAGUGAUUGUUGGCUUCUGUCAAUUGUUGCUCAGGAAACAGAUUUGAGAGAUUCUCUGAGGUGGGAAGGAUUUUAAAUGUCAGCUCUCCUGCUAUGUAUUAUAUGUCUGGAAGGGAUUAGUUCUUUGAGGGAAGAGAGUAUUAAAGAAAACAAUGGGCCGGGCACGGUGGCUCACACCUGUAAUCCCAGCACUUUGGGAGGCCGAGGCAAGGGCGGUGGAUCAUGAGGUCAGGAGAUCGAGACCAUCCUGGCUAACAUGGUGAAACCUCAUUUCUACUAAAAAUACAAAAAAAAAUUAGCUGGGCCUGGUGGCACGUGCCGUAGUCCCAGCUACUCAGGAGGCUGAGGCAGGAGGAUUGCUUGAACCUGGGAGGCAGAGGUUGCAGUGAGCCGAGAUUGUGCCUGGGCAACAGAGCAAGACUCCGUCUCAAAAAAAAAAAAAAAAAAAAGAAAAUGAUGAUCCUUGAAAAGUGACUGCAUCAUGGGGCUGUAUCCUAAUGUGAGAAUUAAUUUAGUCAUUUCUGUUAUUUGAACUCUCUUGUUUUAAAGUUAAUUAACAUAGGAUGUGUUUUCCUGUAAAUAACUCCUCUUUUGAACUGGGGCCCUAGCCCAAAUGAAGCAAAGGCUUUUUUUCUGGCAUUUUACAGGUAUUUAAUUUGCCUCCCGCCCCGCCGCCCCCCACGGCUAUAGCUGGUUUGAUAAUCCUGGAGCUCUCAAAUAUCCAAAGAGUUGGAAGUGUACUCUAUUAGGAUUUUGACAAGUCCCAUACACUGAUCAGAGGUGCUUCAUUCUUGAUCUUAACCUGGGUUCUUUUUUUUUUUUUUUUGGAGACAAGGACUCUGUUGCCCAGGCUGGAGUGCAGUGGCGUGAUCACAGCUCACUGCAGCCUCUACCUCCCAGUAGCUGGGACUACAGCCAUGUGCCACCACACCCAGAUAAUUUUUUUUUUGUAGAGACAGGGUUUUGCCAUGUUACCCAGGCUGGUCUCGAAUUCCUGGGCUCAAGUGAGCCACCUUUUUUUUUUUUUUUUUUGAGAUGGAGUGAUUACAGGCGUGAGCUACUUCACCUGGCUUUCUUUUUCUUUUUCUUUUUUUUAAGAGCUCUCGCUGUGUUGCUCAGGCUGGAGUGCAGUGGCUAUUCACAGGUGCAAUCAUAGUGCACUGCUCCUUUGAAGUACUUGUUAAUGUUUGCUAUUCUUUAAUCAUGAUGAAAGAGAUGGAGGGAGGUGGAAAGUCAGUAGAUUAGAUAUAAAUGAACUGACCUUAUUCUCCUCUUUUAGCUCCUCUUCAUAAAUUGCUUUGUAGACAUAACAAAUGUUAUAUAAAAAUAGUUGGAGGGGCU